rnacentral:rRNA from 1 species
UACGUAGGGCGCAAGCGUUGUCCGGAAUUAUUGGGCGUAAAGAGCUCGUAGGCGGCCUGUUACGUCUGCUGUGAAAUCCCGGGGCUUAACCCCGGGCGUGCAGUGGAUACGGGCAGGCUGGAGGCAGGCAGGGGAGAACGGAAUUCCCGGUGUAGCGGUGAAAUGCGCAGAUAUCGGGAGGAACACCGGUGGCGAAGGCGGUUCUCUAGUACGGUACUGACGCUGAGACGCGAAAGCGUGGGGAGCGAACAGG